rnacentral:rRNA from 1 species
UAAUACAGAAUCCCCAAGCGUUAUCCGGAUUUAUUGGGCGUAAAGGGUCCGUAGGCGGUUUGGUAAGUCUGACGUUAAAUACCUUGAGCUUAACUUAAGGAGGGCGUUGGAAACUGCCAAACUAGAGGGCGUUAGAGGUUGAAGGAACGCUCGGUGUAGGGGUGAAAUCCGUUGAUAUCGAGCGGAACACCAAAAGCGAAGGCAUUCAACUGGGGCGACCCUGACGCUGAGGGACGAAAGCGUGGGUAGCAAAAAGGAUUAGAUACCCUUGUAGUCCACGCUGUAAACGAUGGACACUGGUUAUCUGUAGUGUCGACCCUACAGGUGACGAAGCUAACGCGUUAAGUGUCCCGCCUGGGAAGUACGGUCGCAAGACUA